rnacentral:misc_RNA from 1 species
GAACGGCAGUACGGACUUCGGUCUGGUGGCGAGUAGCGAACGGGUGAGUAAUGUAUCCGGAACGUGCCUAGUAGCGGGGGAUAACUACGCGAAAGCGUAGCUGUCUACAUACGCCCUUCGGGGAAAGCGGGGACCUUCGGGCCUCGCACUGUAGAGCAGCCGAUAUCGGAUUAGCUAGUUGGUGGGGUAACGGCUCGCAAGGCGACGAUCCGUAGCUGGUUUGAAGGACGACCAGCCACACUGGGACUGAACACGGCCCAGACUCCUACGGGAGGCAGCGAGUGGGGGAAUUUUGGACAAUGGGGAAACCCUGAUCCAGCCAUCCCGCGUGUGCGGUAGAGGCCUUCGGGUUGUAAAGCACUUUUGGCAGGAAAGAAACGGCCUGGGAUAAUACCCCGUGCAGCUGACAGUACCACCUGCAGAAUAAGCACCGGCUAACUACGUGCCAGCAGCCGCGGUAAUACGUAGUGCAAGCGUUAAUCGGAAUUACUGGGCGUAAAGCGUGCGCAGGCGGUUCGGAAAGAAAGAUGUGAAAUCCCAGAGCUUAACUUUGGAACUGCAUUUUUAACUACCGAGCUAGAGUGUGUCAGAGGGAGGUGGAAUUCCGCGUGUAGCAGUGAAAUGCGUAGAUAUGCGGAGGAACACCGAUGGCGAAGGCAGCCUCCUGGGAUAACACUGACGCUCAUGCACGAAAAGCGUGGGGAGCAAACAGGAUUAGAUACCCUGGUAGUCCACGCCCUAAACGAUGUCAACUAGCUGUUGGGGCCUUCGGGCCUUGGUGGCGCAGCUAACGCGUGAAGUUGACCGCCUGGGAGUACGGUCGCAAGAUUAAAAACUCAAGGAAUUGACGGGGACCCGCACAAGCGGUGGAUGAUGUGGAUUAAUUCGAUGCAACGCGAAAAACCUUACCUACCCUUGACAUGUCUGGAAUCGAGAUUUGAAGUGCUCGCAAGAGAACCGGAACACAGGUGCUGCAUGGCUGUCGUCAAGCUCGUGUCGUGAGAUGUUGGGUUAAGUCCAGCAAAGGCGCAACCCUUGUCAUUAGUUGCUACGAAGGGCACUCUAAUGAGACUGCCGGUGACAAACC